CCCAAUCACGAACCACCCACAAACCUACCUCCGCCGCUGUGGGGACUGACGCACGGGCCAGGCCCACGCUCGGGUGACACAUUCGUACGUCGACGCAUCAAUGCGCCCGCCGGGUCGUCCGAGUGAGUAGCUUCAAGAAAGACAGGCACAGGACAGGGGGACUGGACGUAGUAGUACGUGGACGAUGCCAAUCCCAGUGUUUGUGUUUGUCGCCUAGACGCCUCAAGGCCCUCUUUCCCCCUCUCCGCCUUGACUCACUCACUUGGCCACUCUUCUUCCUCCUCAUCAAACCGCUCUCCAGCACUUGUUCGGAAGAAAAAGAAGGUAGAACACGCUAACAAGACAACAAGGAUCAUGGGGCGCGGGCGCGGCCACCUCCUGCUGCCGGCAGCAGCCGCCUGCCUGUGGGCGCUGUCGUGCGCGCUGCUGCUGCACGCGUCCCCUCACGGCGCUGGCGCCGGCGCCGGCGGCCUGCUGAGGGUCGGGCUCAGCAGGCGCGGCGGCGGGCUCGACCAGCGCGCGCUGGCGGCGGCCAAGGCCGCGAGGCAGCAGGAGGCAAGCCGUCUCGGGGCCUCCGGCGGCGGCGACGUCCCUCUCGUCGACUACCUCAACACCCAGUACUACGGGGUCGUCGGCAUCGGCACGCCGCCGCAGAACUUCACCGUCAUCUUCGACACCGGCAGCUCCAACCUCUGGGUCCCCUCCUCCAGAUGCUACUUCUCGAUUGCCUGCUACCUGCACCACAGAUACAAGUCGGCCAAGUCUAGCACGUACAAGGCGGACGGCGAGACCUGCAAGAUCACCUACGGCUCCGGCUCGAUCGCCGGGUUCUUCAGCGACGACGACGUGCUGGUCGGGGACCUGACCGUCAAAAACCAGAAGUUCAUCGAGACAACGCGCGAAAGCAGCAUAACGUUCAUAAUCGGCAAGUUCGACGGCAUCCUCGGUCUCGGAUACCCCGAGAUCUCCGUCGGCAAGGCUCCUCCGAUCUGGCAGAGCAUGCAGGAGCAGGAGCUGCUGGCGGAGGACGUCUUCUCCUUCUGGCUGAACCGGAGCCCGGACGCGGCGGCGGCCGGCGGCGAGCUCGUCUUCGGCGGCGUCGACCCUGCGCACUUCAGCGGGAACCACACCUACGUCCCCGUCUCCCGCAAGGGAUACUGGCAGUUCGACAUGGGGGACCUUCUCAUCGACGGCCACUCCACCGGUUUCUGCGCCAAGGGGUGCGCUGCCAUCGUCGACUCCGGGACUUCCUUGCUCGCUGGCCCAACGGCCAUAAUUGCCCAGGUGAACGAAGCGAUCGGGGCAGACGGGAUCAUCAGCACGGAGUGCAAGGAAGUUGUGAGCCAGUACGGAGAGAUGAUCCUCGACAUGCUCAUCGCACAGACGGAUCCACAGAGGGUGUGCAGCCAGGUUGGUCUGUGCGUGUUCGAUGGCGCUCGAUCUGUCAGCGAGGGGAUUGAAUCUGUCGUCGGGAAAGAAAACCUGGGCUCAGAUGUCAUGUGCUCGGCCUGUCAGAUGGCUGUCGUGUGGAUAGAGAACCAGCUCCGCGAAAACAAGACCAAGGAGCUCAUACUGCAGUACGCUAACCAGGAUUCUGCCUGUGUUCUUGCAUGCACCAGCUGUGUGAGCGUCUGCCGAGCCCCAACGGAGAGUCAACAGUCAGCUGCCAGGAGAUCUCCAAGAUGCCCAGCCUUGCGUUCACCAUCGCAAACAAGACCUUCACCCUAACACCCCAGCAGUACAUUGUGAAGCUGGAGCAAGGAGGCCAAACCGUCUGCAUCAGUGGGUUCAUGGCGUAUGACGUGCCACCGCCGCGUGGUCCUCUCUGGAUUCUUGGGGACGUCUUCAUGGGAGCUUACCACACGGUGUUCGACUUCGGCAACGACAGGAUUGGCUUCGCGGAAUCUGCAUGAGUGUGGAGAGCACUCUCAUCUUUAUAAAGACGAUACCCUAUGUAUUAGGGAUGUGUAGUUUACUGUCUAUCCACUACAUGCCAACAGUACGCUGCAAAUAAAUCGGUGGCCAAAAUUGCUGAAACCAGAAACGUGAACAGUACUGCUUUCUUUGUUUCUGGAGAAGAGCAAAUGGAUGCUUCAAGACAUGCAUGUCCGAUGUGUAUUGAGAAAUAGAGCGACGAGUGCUGCUCGAUCGUCUUGAAAUUUGUUUGUUCAUGGUAGCACAGCUUAUCACUUAUAAAAUAAUUUGUGGAUCGCC